rnacentral:pre_miRNA from 1 species
AUUAGUAUAAGAGAUUAAUUUCUAUGCACUGACGGUGUAAAACUUAUUUACACCGUCGGUGCAUAGAAAUUAAUCUCUUAGUAUAAU